AGGGGCCAGGCCCAGGCCGCCGCCGCUGCGCUCACCCCCAGCUUAAUUCCCCGGGCGGCCAUUAGGCAGAGCCAAGCCCCCGACCUUCUCCUCGCCUCGCGAGGGAUCACAGGCUGCGUCAACGCGCUGGGACACCGCGGGUCACCCGAGGCGGUGCGGGGGCCCGGGAGGGGCCGCGGGCCCCCGAACAAAGCUGGCCGGGCGGCGGGGUCCCCAACCCGCGUCCAGCGUGGUCCUGUCUGGUGUGAACCGUCAGCACAGAUGGCCUCCUGGAGCUUCCCCGAGUCGUUCGCUGGGGGAAGCGGGCGGUGAGCGGCCAGCCCGGGCGCUCCGCAGGCCGCGAGCUCCCGGCAGGGCUGGUGGCGGGGGUCCGCCUGGGGGAGGAAUCCCCGCCUGCUCCAUCGGACCCGGCCUGGCGCGGCUCGCGGCGCUCGGCGGGCUCCCUUCCAUUCUAGAAUCUUCCCGCUUGCUUCCCAGCCCGCGUUCUUCCGCCUGCCUUUAAUUGUAAUUUACAGGAUUAAGGAGUUUGGGGAAGUCGCAGAGCUGCAGCGGAAAGGCAGGGGUCUGAGACUACUUUUGAGAAGAGAAACAACGCAAAACGAUCGCUGGAGGGCCAGAGCCCUGGUCGAAGGUGCCCUAGCUUUUAUGACCUGGUUAAUUGUGUCUCCUUUUUAUUUUUAUUUUUUUCCUUACCACUACUACUACUACUACUUUUAUUUUUUUUUAACCGAUACACUUUGGAGAGAAGAAGCAGACACAGGUUCCCACGGCGUCUGACGCCUGCGGAGCAAGUCCAGAGCCAGCUGGACUCGCAGCCUCUGGCCCGGCGGCACCAACUCCUCACUGGGUCAUUUUGAGCGCGCUGUGCCCACCUUUUCUGUUGCGUGUGGACGUGGGGAGGAUCUUCUAAGUCCCUCCAACGAAGGCAAGUGUGAGACUCUGGCCCUUUAUUUGUAAGAAGCAAGCCUUCAGAUUGCAGAAGUGUCGCGCGGGUCGCCGUGCGUUGCGCGAGUGGGAAGAUGGAGGAGGCCGGCACGCUGCUUUCGUGGACGCAAGUGAACCGGGCGUGAAGGCAGGGUGCGAGCUCUGCCCUUGGCCCAGCCCUGCGUGGGCGCCGUCCCAGAUUCCGGGCGGUGCGGGGUGCAGAGAUCUGGAGAGACUUGCGGGCUCCCCAGCGCAGGCUGCUCUGGGAUUUCGUUGGAAGAUCCGGCAGAGCCUUGGAGGAGAGGGCCCGGGAGGCUGUGUGUGCAGCGGAAACUUGUACGAAUGCCCCCACAGCGGAAAUGGUGCGCACGAGUAAUUUCUGCGGUGCACCCUUUUAAAAAUUGACAAGUGAACAAGAUCAAUUUUUUAAGAAAGCAAAGGUAGAAAACAAAAGGCGUGCGACUUCUUGACUGGCUUGUUCCCGCCUUUCUUCCUUCUCUAUACUCAGAUCAGAAACUUUUCUUUAAUUGCUCUUAUUCAGUGCGACAACUUUUAAUAAAAGCAUUUGCAUUUUAAGCCUGAGUUGCAACCAUAGAUUUAUUGCGAAGUGACAACGUGUCUAUGGAAUAUUUUCGCAGAUGAGACAGGACAUGCGCUCUAGUCGUGCCCAGAUUAAAGCGACGCUGGGCCAUGUGCCUGUGUAGUGCAGACUCGGAGGGGCACACACAUACUCGUCACCACAUGACCACUGUCUAUUAAUAUUGUCAUACCUAAACACUCGCAAAAACAAAAGUUGCUUUUCUUCCCUGUAAUUAAAUCUAAUUUG
rnacentral:lncRNA from 1 species